rnacentral:sRNA from 1 species
GUAGAUGCUCAUCUCACUCCUUAUGAUUGCGAAAGCUUCAUAAACCCGGAGAUGAUGCAGAGCUAGAUUCGGUGCCUAUUGUCCGGGUUAUCGAUGUAAAAGAUCCCAAAAUCUUUACAUCAACAACAGGACGUAACGUUGAGUGAGGCACCACCCGUCUGUAGACCUGAUUGUAUUUUUAUACACCUAUCGUUUCACGAUAGGUGUUUUUU